ACACUCUGGCUUCUCUUCAGAUCGUAUAAAUCUUUUCGCCUUUUACUAAAGAUUUCCGUGGAGAGGAACAAUAAGAGUUUUAAACAAUUUUUGAUGCCCCUGCAUACUGCAGGGUU